UUUGCCCCCUCUCUCUCUCUCUCUCUCUCUCUCUCUCUUUUUCUCUUUUUUAUUCUUUCUCUCGUUUUCUAUCUGUGUUUCGCCCAUUUUCUAUUAUGGAGUGUUCUAUGUGAACCGUGUUUUUUGCGUUACCGUGUUUCUUUCUAAUACAAGUUUGGAGAACAGGUCUCGUGAUUUCUUUUACCUACUUCCAAAGAAUUGAGUGCGUUAGAAACGAGAAAGACACGGUGUUUUUGAGAAAGAAAUCAGAGGAAAACUGAACUGUGACGAGGAAAAAGAUUGAAGAAGUAACAGGAUAUUUCAGUCAUAUCAGGUCUUUCUGCCCACACAGUGAAACGUGCUACGCAAAAGUACGAUCGAAGAGAAGAUAGCAAGGAUCGACGGUGUACUGUGAACGCUUUGAAAUAUUAACCAUUUAGUGCUUAUAAACGAGGACGAAUUUGCUUAAAAGUUCGUAGUAAGUUUAAAUUUGAACGAAUCGGUGAAGAAAGUAAGGCAGAAGAAUUAGAAAAAAGAAAGUAUCAGAGAAGAAAAAAGAUAAGUGCAUCGAGAAAAAGAAAAACGAAUAUUGAGAAAAUAAUGUGACAGGCAAGUUGGGUCAAUGAGUCCAGGUGGUGUCCUGUGAUUCACGGUCAGUUUAGAAUGGAUCACGUGGACCAAUCCGUAACUGCACGUAUGGAGAAUAACGCGUCCUCGAACAUGUCUGUAGGUUCGCGAAUAACGAGGAAUUGCUCGCGGUGUCGAAAUCAUGGACAAAAAAUUGCCCAGAAGGGCCACGGAAAAGACUGUAAGUACCGCGAUUGCGUCUGUGAACGUUGUAAACUUUUUUCUGAUCGACGAAGCAUGAUGGCCAGGAAUACUGAAUUGAGAAGAACUAUGACUCAAGACGAGGAUUCAACAUCCCUCUCCAUAGAUGGUUCCUCGCUCGGUUCGGGUCCGCAAUCCGUGAAGAAUCUCGAAGGAAGUUACGACAGCAGCAGCGGCGACUCGCCAAUCAGCAAUCACGGAAGCAACGAAAUGCAGGACGGGAACAGCGACGUUGCUGGAAUUGCUUCCUCAAAAAAGGCACCAUCUUCAAAUCGUUCGCCAGCCACAACAUCUUGGCCACAAUGGCAGGCUGGGGCAGAUUCAAACGCAUCUUGGGACGCAUCCUCGACCUCGAACAGCGGCACCAACUCACGUACGAAACCAACGUGCACACGUUGCCGUAAUCAUGACGUUACCAGCAUUCUUAAGGGUCACAAGAGGUACUGCGACUUUAUUUACUGUCAUUGCGUUAAAUGCCGUAACACACUUAAGCGCCAGAAGCAGAUGGCAAAACAAACCGCACUUAAAAGGGCUCUUAUUCAAGACGAGGAACAAAUAAGAAAGUAUGGUAAGAGAGAUCGUAAUCUCGUUUAUUUGUCGAUGCAGCUGGUGAUGCCAGCGAUGCCUCCAGCAGUAGAAAACAAGCAUAUACCAACUGUCCCUCGACCAGCGUGGAGCGUCGAAGGCAGUUACGGUGGCAUCAAUGGCGUACUUAAUACUCCAACUCCAAGAAAAUUACCAGUCGUAGAUACGCACUUGCCUCCUUCGAUCUAUCAGAUUCAACCACAACCCAGCAUCAACGACGAAAUUAUAUUGGCAUACAGUAUGAAUCUCCUGCAACGAUUCCGACAUCCUAGUGAUAUGCUCACGCUAAUGUUUAGCACAGUGAAGAAUGCCGGUGCGAAUCUUGAAGAGACUCUCAGACGUAUCGAGGAAGUUAAACAUUGGAUACUGGAAGUUUACUGUACAUUAACUACAUACGUAAUGGAAAAUUUUUUAUUACUCUUAUAUAUAGCUUUCGUUAUAUAUAUUUAUCAUUCAAAAAUUAACGAGGAUUCCAAAGGUGAUUUUAAUAACAUUGAUAAUAAUUUAUCUAUAAUUUGUAAGAAAGAUUAUAUAGACCGUUUUAUUUAUCUUUAAUGACAUAGAAAGCGAAUAUAGAUUUUUCGAAACAAAAGGAACAAAAACGGUUAUAUGUUACUAAAUCAUUUUCUAUUGAAAUUAUCGAUAGAUCAGUUGGAGCAUUUUAAAAGAUAAAUGUUUAAAAAAUAAUUUAUUAUUCUUCAUAUUAUCGCCUAAUUUAAAGUUGAUAAUAAUAUUACUAUCGUCGUUGAAGUUGGCAAAGUUUUACAAAGAUUCGGCUAAAUUUAAUCACGCAUGUUGGAUCAUAAAAAUAAACUAUCUUCGUGUGCACAAUGAUAUUCUUCUCUUAACUUAUACCAAUUCUCAAAUUUGAAAAAGUAUUUUACAUAGACGAUCGUGUUUGUAAAUCUAUCAAACAGAAUAUAAUUUAAAUCAUUAAAAUUCAUUAUCUUAACAGUUGUGUUCCUAUUUUAAUAAAUAAAUGCACGCUGAUACUUAAUUUAAUCUUAACUAUGUUAAUUUUUAGUUCAAUCUUAACUAUGUUCUUUGUUCCAAUAUUAUGCUACUUGAGAAUAUUAAAACUAUUGAGGUUCAUGAUAAAUAAUGCUUGUAUAUUCUAUUAAAAAAACGAUUAUUAAACAACUCACAUAAAUUUGAUUCGCGAUUAAAACACAUUUUAAGAUUAUAGAAAGCAAUUAUCUAGUACGCGAUGAACAAACUUUAUACUUUUUUUUUCAAUUUUUUUUACAUAUUUAUUUAUUACUAAUGGAAGAAAGAAAGCGUAAAAAUGUUAGAAAAUGAAGGGAAAUAUAAACUCAUAAAGCAAUCAUCAAAAUAAUAUUUUAUAUGAGUUACGUGAAGCGUAAUAUCAAAUGUUUAAUAUCAAAUGCCAUCGGUCAUGUCAUGUGUGUUAGACGAAACGUAACAUUAGAUAUGUAAGCUUAUUUAUUCUACCGCGAACGAUUUUACAUAAUGUAUAUUACUACGUUAGAUAUGUAUAGAUGCAUGAAAAUACGUAAUAUAACGUAUUCACAGUUCUACUUUAAUCCUUAAGUAUUAUAUUAAACUUGUUCUUUCGCGUAUAUAAAGUCAAUUCUAUAAAUUAAACUAUACCGUUUUCUAUUAGUUAGAAUAAUAUAAACGAGUUUUAGAUCAGUGAAGAUUUUUUAACGAAUAUUAAAUUUCGUCACUUUUUAAUAGUUAUUUAAUAGUUAAACGAACAAACAAGCUUUAUGUAUAUGUACGUUUAUAUUUUUUUUUUUUGAAAUAUUUAUUUAUCAUGCCUUUAUCGAAUUAACAAUGAUUGAGUUAAGAAAGAGUAUCUCAUUUUGUUGUAAUAAGUGCAAGAAAUUAAUUCGUGCCAACUUCAAUGCGAUCAGUAAUAUUUCCAGUUGUAAUAAAAUAAGAAUUAAUAUUAAAUCCGUUCAAUCGAUAUGACAAAUGUCAAAUCAGCGUUUAUUGACAUUUAUCUUCUCUCGAAGAUCAACGUUGAUUCAAGAACAAUCUACAAUUUCUUGAAAUUACCAUCAUUGAAGAUGAUACACGACGGUAUGAAGAUUUUGUUUUUUUUUUAAAUUAUUUUUAUCAUUUUCUACACAUUUUUAUUUAAUGAUACUCGGUUCAUUAGAGUAUCCCUGCCUUUGAUUAAAAACAUUUUAUAAUAUAUCUCCGUCCGUGAAUUAAUAUAAUUACUUUUCAACGCGUCAAGAUCAUGAAUGCCAAAGCACAAGCACUUUGACAAUGGGAUCAAGAGUAUCUAAGAGCUUGGAAAGUAGCCAAUCGAGCCCAAAUUACGCGUCUCACUUUCCCCUUCGACUAUGAGAUUUAUUUCAUUCAAGGUUAUCCUAAUGAAAAAAGCAAAAAAAUAUAUAUAUAUAAAAUAAUAAAAUCCCAAAGGAAUUCUUAAUUUUACUUGAUUUUUCUAUAUUGUUACAUUUAUCAUGAAUUUUUUUAAGCUAUCUAUAUUUUUAAUUAUUCAUACAUAUUCUAAUUAUUCAUGCCUUUCUAAUUAUACAACACAAUAGGACAAUAUUUAAAUCUAUUUUCAUUUAAAUUUUAUUUUUUUAAAUUAUUCCGGAUAUCAUAUAACUACGAUCUACAUUGUCAUUGCAAAAGAAAGAUAUUGCAAUAAAAAAGAAAAUAAAUAAUGAUAGGAACAAAUAAGUGAUGUAUAAAAAAAGAAAUUCAAAUAUUUCAUGAGAACAACUAUUUUUAUAGUUUUCUAAUUGGAGUGAUAAAUGUUCAUACAGAUUAUAAGAAAGAUCAGUAAAUGCAAGAUGCCAUUCAUGUUUCGUCGAUUCGCGAAAAUAUUCCUAAGCGCCCAAAUAAUCGAAAGGAUUUCUUUUUUAUUUCUUUUUCAAGUGAUCAUUAAAUACACAUGUAAAUAAUCUGUCGAUAAUUUUAUUUAUAGUUUAUUAUCUCGGUUCUCGAACUUUCCGUUCGAUAAUAAUGACGACAUUAUGCUUGAAAGUUUAUCAAAUAACAAAUUUUGUGUAUUUAUUAAACGCUCAAUCAAAAUUCGUUUUCUCUUUUCUUAUAUUAUGGAAUCUUAAUCACGAAUUUAAAGCUUUAAUUUACAAUGUGAUUACUUAAGAUCAUUACAUGAUUUUGCAUAUCAAAUAAAACGUUAAAAUAUAACUUUUCUUAAUAACAUUAAAUGAUAUUCCAUAUGUAACGUUACGAUUAAAUAAUUUGCUUUCGUAUAACGCGAUAAGUUUAUUAAUAAAAUAUACAGAAUUAUCAAUAUCGAUUAUAUAUUUUUUUGUUUCUUGAAAGAACAUAGACACUUAUCUAAAUGCAUUUUCAUAAAAAGGUAUUUUAAAUAAAUUUAAAUGAAUGAUGCAACACGUCAAUCGUCUAUAUUUCAAUGCAGCGCAAUUUAUCGGUAAUAUGAUGGUAAAUUUACAAAAAAAAAAAAAAAAAACUAAACGUCAUUAAGUAUUUCUUGCCUGAAUUAACGUACAAGAAGGUAUUUAACAGAGCAUAAAGGAGAUAGUUGAGUAAUUCGUUAAGACACGUGGUUAAAUGUAGACUAUCAGCUGCUGCUAAAAGUGAAUCGUUAUAUAUCACUUAAGGAAUCCUUUUAUUCCUUAAUUAAAAAACAAAAAAAAAAUGAUUACAAGAGUGAUUCAAAUUAUUUCUGAAAAUAAUUACUUCCACAUAUACUAUUUUAAUUUAAUAUCGUUAGAACGCUCUCUGAUAGUAAAAAUUUAAUAUUAUCAUUAUUAUCUUAUAAAUUAUACUGUAUUGAAGUAGCAUGACUAAUUUGCAUAAUUAAUUAUAUGUAAUAGUUAGUAAAAAAUACAAUAUUCUUUCCCUCUUAACGAUAUUAUAGUAGCGAUAUAUAAACUAAUGGAGGAAGUCAUUAUUAUCCAAAUGAACGUUUCAUCAACCUACCGGGUAACAAUAAUUAGAUAGUAUGUAUUCACAAUACAUCUUUGAUUGUGAAAUGCAAACAAUAACAUAGCAUUAUUGUUAGAAAAUAAGAUCUAAUUUUUCUUAAUAUAAUUUGUCUUAAAAUGCAGAAAUUGAUAGAUAAAUGUUACAGCAAAAUUGAUCAAUUUCAAUGAGUAAAAUUUUUGUUACUUUUCGAAUCUUUGAUAUAAAUUUCAAUAGAAUAAAGUACAUGCAAUAAUUUCAAAUGAUGUUGAUUUAGUUUCGUAUGAAUUAAUUGAUAAUAAUUCAUUAAUUUUUGUUGAAUAUAUUUUCAACGUAAAUUCAUUUUUAUCGAUGGAGAAUAUCAAAAUUUAUUCCACGAAUGGUUUAAUUUGCACUUGCAAUGUACUUGCAUGUAAUUAUAAAUAAUUCCAAGGUAAAAUGCUUCGUGUCAAAAAGUUCAUGAUGCCAAAGGUGUCUCGGUAACAAACACAUACACUUUACAAGGAAAGACUUCCGUGAACGAGCUUCCGAGCAUUUGAAUAACGGUCGCCUUGGGCAGUGUUGCAUUCUUUCAUUAUACGAUGACAUUUGCAUUUUCACGAAGCUUGAUGUUUCGAAAUAUCGUCGAGUAGUUUCCUUUAAAAAAAAAAAAUAAUGAAAAUUUACGAUAAGUACGUAUUAUUGCUAUUAGUUAUUGAUAUCGUAUGAAAAUGAAAAAUGAUAAGUAGUAAAAGUUUUAGAGGGAAAGAAUCAUACAAUUAAGAAAUGACAAAAAGCCAUUUAUCAAACUAGCAUAUAUUAUCGAAAAAAAAUUUUGCUCGCGUAAAAAUAUUAAGUAUUGAUUUUUUUUAGUAAGAAAUACAAACGAAUCUUAGAACCAAUCUAAUAAAAUAUCAAUGAAAUGUGUAAUAGCUCGACGAAGGUCGUAUAUAUAAUAAGAGGAAAAGAAAAAAAAAUCUUUUCGAUUUAUUAAAAUAUCUAUCAAAAAAAAAAAAAAUACUUAACUACAUUAUUAGAUUGCAUCUCUUAUGACGAGCACGGAGAAAAACGACAGAGAGAACAUUUGACCUUGUGUAAGUGCAUCGAUGUUCAUAGCUCACGUGCACGUCAAAUUUGCGUACGAGUAAAGCAACCUCUACGAACGCAAAACACAAUGACGCACGCCUACUCGGCGACGAUAGCUGGCAAACUCGUUCGUAAUCCUGCGUCGUUACAGCAAAACGUAAAUGAAGUGCUGUAAGUCUUUCAAUCGAAUAAACGACAAAUAAUAUUCGAAGCGAUUUUACGUAUUACAAUGCGAUUGCGAUUUUUCAUAAAAAUAUAUACCGGCUAAUUAAUUGUUAAUAAAACGAUAUCUUGAUGAAAAAUUAA